GAACUGCGAUAAGUAAUGUGAAUUGCAGAAUUCAGUGAAUCAUCGAGUCUUUGAACGCACAUUGCGCCCCCUGGCAUUCCGGGGGGCAUGCCUGUCCGAGCGUCAUUGCUGCCCUUCAAGCCCGGCUUGUGUGUUGGGUCGUCGUCCCCUCCGGGGGACGGGCCCGAAAGGCAGCGGCGGCACCGCGUCCGGUCCUCGAGCGUAUGGGGCUUUGUCACCCGCUCGAUAAGGACCGGCCGGGCGCCAGCCGGCGUCUCCAACCUUUUUUUCUCAGGUUGACCUCGGAUCAGGUAGGGAUACCCGCUGAACUGAAG
rnacentral:misc_RNA from 1 species